AGAGUUUGAUCAUGGCUCAGAACGAACGCUGGCGGCGUGGAUAAGACAUGCAAGUCGAACGGGACAUUGUUUGUAGCAAUACAAGCGAUGUUCAGUGGCGUAAGGGUGCGUAACACGUGGGCAAUCUGCCGAAGAGUGGGGGAUAGCUCGCCGAAAGGCGAAUUAAUACCGCAUGUGGCUAGUGGAGACAUCUCCACGAGGCCAAAGCCGGGGCAACCUGGCGCUCUUUGAUGAGCCCGCGGCCUAUCAGCUAGUUGGCGGGGUAACGGCCCACCAAGGCUAUGACGGGUAGCUGGUCUGAGAGGACGACCAGCCACACUGGAACUGAGACACGGUCCAGACACCUACGGGUGGCAGCAGUCGAGAAUUUUUCUCAAUGGGGGAAACCCUGAAGGAGCGACGCCGCGUGGAGGAUGAAGGUCUUCGGAUUGUAAACUCCUGUCAUUAGGGAACAAUUGUCCGCGAUUAACUGUCGCGGGCUUGAUAGUACCUGAAGAGGAAGAGACGGCUAACUCUGUGCCAGCAGCCGCGGUAAUACAGAGGUCUCAAGCGUUGUUCGGAUUCAUUGGGCGUAAAGGGUGCGUAGGCGGCGGGGUAAGUCAGGUGUGAAAUCUCGGGGCUCAACUCCGAAACUGCAUUUGAUACUGCCUUGCUAGAGUACUGGAGAGGAGAUUGGAAUUUACGGUGUAGCAGUGAAAUGCGUAGAUAUCGUAAGGAAGACCAGUGGCGAAGGCGAAUCUCUGGACAGUUACUGACGCUGAGGCACGAAGGCCAGGGGAGCAAACGGGAUUAGAUACCCCAGUAGUCC
rnacentral:rRNA from 1 species